rnacentral:misc_RNA from 1 species
AUGUCGUAACAAGGUUUCUGUAGGUGAACCUGUGGAAGGAUCAUUAGCGAGUAUGGCCCUCACGGGUCUAAUCCACCAUAAACACCUUUGAGAACCAGUCAGGGGGACUCGGGCGUGAAAGCCCAGGCGAUUAGCGGAAUGGCCCUCCUUUGCAACCCGUUUAGAAGUCUUGAAAGUACUUUUGUAUAAUCUAUUAAAACUUAUAGCAACGGAUCUCUUGGCUCUCAUA